rfam:Triticum aestivum genome assembly, contig: Triticum_aestivum_CS42_TGACv1_scaffold_486154_6AS
UGAUUACUCCCUCCGUCCGAAAAUACUUGUCAUCAAAAUGGAUAAAAAGAAAUGUAUCUAAAACUAAAAUACGUCUAGAUACAUCCCCUUUUAUCCAUUUUGAUGACAAGUAUUUCCGGAGGGAGGGAGUACAUA